GACGAACGCUGGCGGCGUGCUUAACACAUGCAAGUCGAACGGAAAGGCCCUGCUUUUGUGGGGUGCUCGAGUGGCGAACGGGUGAGUAACACGUGAGUAACCUGCCCUUGACUUUGGGAUAACUUCAGGAAACUGGGGCUAAUACCGGAUAGGAGCUCCUGCUGCAUGGUGGGGGUUGGAAAGUUUCGGCGGCUGGGGAUGGACUCGCGGCUUAUCAGCUUGUUGGUGGGGUAGUGGCUUACCAAGGCUUUGACGGGUAGCCGGCCUGAGAGGGUGACCGGCCACAUUGGGACUGAGAUACGGCCCAGACUCCUACGGGAGGCAGCAGUGGGGAAUAUUGCACAAUGGGCGGAAGCCUGAUGCAGCAACGCCGCGUGCGGGAUGACGGCCUUCGGGUUGUAAACCACUUUCGCCUGUGACGAAGCGUGAGUGACGGUAAUGGGUAAAGAAGCACCGGCUAACUACGUG
rnacentral:rRNA from 1 species